GAUGAACGCUGGCGGCGUGCCUAAUACAUGCAAGUCGAGCGAACGGACGAGAAUCUUGCUUCUCUGAUGUUAGCGGCGGACGGGUGAGUAAAACGUGGCUAACCUACCUAUAAGACUGGGAUAACUUCGGGAAACCGGAGCUAAUACCGGAUAAUAUUUUGAACCGCAUGGUUCAAAAGUGAAAGACGGUCUUGCUGUCACUUAUAGAUGUAUCCGCGCUGCAUUAGCUAGUUGGUAAGGUAACGGCUUACCAAGGCAACGAUGCAUAGCCGACCUGAGAGGGUGAUCAGUCACACUGGAACUGAGACACGGUCCAGACUCCUACGGGAGGCAGCAGUAGGGAAUAUUCCGCAAUGGGCGAAAGCCUGACGGAGCAACGCCGCGUGAGUGAUGAAGGUCUUCGGAUCGUAAAACUCUGUUAGUAGGGAAGAACAUAUGUGUAAGUAACUGUGCACAUCUUGACGGUACCUAAUCAGAAAGCCACGGCUAACUACGUG
rnacentral:rRNA from 1 species